GCGGCAUGCCUUACACAUGCAAGUCGAACGGCAGCACGGGUGCUUGCACCUGGUGGCGAGUGGCGAACGGGUGAGUAAUACAUCGGAACAUGUCCUGUAGUGGGGGAUAGCCCGGCGAAAGCCGGAUUAAUACCGCAUACGAUCUAUGGAUGAAAGCGGGGGACCUUCGGGCCUCGCGCUAUAGGGUUGGCCGAUGGCUGAUUAGCUAGUUGGUGGGGUAAAGGCCUACCAAGGCGACGAUCAGUAGCUGGUCUGAGAGGACGACCAGCCACACUGGGACUGAGACACGGCCCAGACUCCUACGGGAGGCAGCAGUGGGGAAUUUUGGACAAUGGGCGAAAGCCUGAUCCAGCAAUGCCGCGUGUGUGAAGAAGGCCUUCGGGUUGUAAAGCACUUUUGUCCGGAAAGAAAUCCUUGGUUCUAAUAUAGCCGGGGGAUGACGGUACCGGAAGAAUAGGCACCGGCUAACUACGUGCCAGCAGCCGCGGUAAUACGUAGGGUGCGAGCGUUAAUCGGAAUUACUGGGCGUAAAGCGUGCGCAGGCGGUUUGCUAAGACCGAUGUGAAAUCCCCGGGCUCAACCUGGGAACUGCAUUGGUGACUGGCAGGCUAGAGUAUGGCAGAGGGGGGUAGAAUUCCACGUGUAGCAGUGAAAUGCGUAGAGAUGUGGAGGAAUACCGAUGGCGAAGGCAGCCCCCUGGGCCAAUACUGACGCUCAUGCACGAAAGCGUGGGGAG
rnacentral:rRNA from 1 species